CUUCCGUUGGAAGAUUACCGGAAAGUGAUGGCUUGAAGGGGAUAGGAAUAAGAGUUCACUAAUGAGAACAGUUUUAGUAGUGUGAAGAAAGAUGCUUCAACCAUUGCUUUUGCCGUCAUGCCUGGUCCAAGUGCUGCAUUUCCUCUGGAUGCUUUUGUCACUUUUACUCCAACCACUGUCACCCCAUUGACCAGUCUAAGAAGGGAAAGAAGUGGUAAAAGGUUAAGUUCCCGGGACCUAAUUUGGAAGAGCUCCAAUUUGAUCAGCUGGCAUCUCUAAGGUA